UACGUAGGGUGCGAGCGUUAAUCGGAAUUACUGGGCGUAAAGCGUGCGCAGGCGGUUAUUUAAGUCAGGUGUGAAAGCCCUGGGCUUAACCUAGGAAUGGCGCUUGAGACUGGAUAGCUUGGAGUGUGGCAGAGGGAGGUGGAAUUCCACGUGUAGCAGUGAAAUGCGUAGAGAUGUGGAGGAACACCGAUGGCGAAGGCAGCCUCCUGGGCCAGCACUGACGCUCAUGCACGAAAGCGUGGGGAGCAAACAGGA
rnacentral:rRNA from 1 species